rnacentral:snoRNA from 1 species
CUACUUGAUGAAUGGCACUGGGCUCCGACAGCCAAACACGGCUGGUCUUGAUGGAAAUGCCCUCUUGAGGCAGGCCUAGAAAACCUAGCCCACUGAUU